GUGCCAGCCGCCGCGGUAAUACGGAGGGUGCAAGCGUUGUUCGGAAUUACUGGGCGUAAAGCGCGCGUAGGCGGUUUGUUAAGUCAGAUGUGAAAGUCCCCGGCUCAACCGUGGAAGUGCAUUUGAAACUGGCAGACUUGAGUACUGGAGGGGGUGGUGGAAUUCCCGGUGUAGAGGUGAAAUUCGUAGAUAUCGGGAGGAAUACCGGUGGCGAAGGCGACCACCUGGCCAGAUACUGACGCUGAGGUGCGAAAGCGUGGGGAGCAAACAGGAUUAGAAACCCUGGUAGUCC
rnacentral:rRNA from 1 species